AACGAACGCUGGCGGCAGGCCUAACACAUGCAAGUCGAGCGCCCCGCAAGGGGAGCGGCGGACGGGUGAGUAACGCGUGGGAAUAUGCCCUUUGCUACGGAAUAGUCUCGGGAAACUGGGGGUAAUACCGUAUACGCCCUUUGGGGGAAAGAUUUAUCGGCGAAGGAUUGGCCCGCGUUGGAUUAGGUAGUUGGUGGGGUAAUGGCCUACCAAGCCGACGAUCCAUAGCUGGUUUGAGAGGAUGAUCAGCCACACUAGGACUGAGACACGGCCCAGACUCCUACGGGAGGCAGCAGUGGGGAAUCUUAGACAAUGGGGGCAACCCUGAUCUAGCCAUGCCGCGUGAGUGAUGAAGGCCUUAGGGUUGUAAAGCUCUUUCAGCUGGGAAGAUAAUGACGGUACCAGCAGAAGAAGCCCCGGCUAACUCCGUG
rnacentral:rRNA from 1 species